UACGGAGGGUGCAAGCGUUAUCCGGAUUCACUGGGGUUAAAGGGUGCGUAGGUGGGUCUGUAAGUCCGUGGUGAAAUCUCCGAGCUUAACUUGGAAACUGCCAUGGAUACUAUAGAUCUUGAAUACUGUGGAGGUUAGCGGAAUAUGUCAUGUAGCGGUGAAAUGCUUAGAUAAGACAUAGAACACCAAUUGCGAAGGCAGCUGGCUACACAAAUAUUGACACUGAUGCACGAAAGCGUGGGGAUCAAACAGG
rnacentral:rRNA from 1 species